rnacentral:rRNA from 1 species
AGUGAACGCUGGCGGUAGGCCUAACACAUGCAAGUCGAACGGCAGCACAGUAAGAGCUUGCUCUUACGGGUGGCGAGUGGCGGACGGGUGAGGAAUACAUCGGAAUCUACUUUUUCGUGGGGGAUAACGUAGGGAAACUUACGCUAAUACCGCAUACGACCUACGGGUGAAAGCAGGGGAUCUUCGGACCUUGCGCGAUUGAAUGAGCCGAUGUCGGAUUAGCUAGUUGGCGGGGUAAAGGCCCACCAAGGCGACGAUCCGUAGCUGGUCUGAGAGGAUGAUCAGCCACACUGGAACUGAGACACGGUCCAGACUCCUACGGGAGGCAGCAGUGGGGAAUAUUGGACAAUGGGCGCAAGCCUGAUCCAGCCAUACCGCGUGGGUGAAGAAGGCCUUCGGGUUGUAAAGCCCUUUUGUUGGGAAAGAAAGGCAGCAGGUUAAUACCCCGCUGUUCUGACGGUACCCAAAGAAUAAGCACCGGCUAACUUCGG